rnacentral:rRNA from 1 species
CCCAGACAGCCAGGAUGUUGGCUUAGAAGCAGCCAUCAUUUAAAGAAAGCGUAAUAGCUCACUGGUCGAGUCGGCCUGCGCGGAAGAUGUAACGGGGCUAAACCAUGCACCGAAGCUGCGGCAGCGAACGUAUCACUUAAAGCGAUUCAGCGGGUUACGAUUGACGGAGCGAAGCGACGUCAAAGCGUAUACAAAGUCGAGUCGGUUUAAGGAUACGUUCGUUGGGUAGGGGAGCGUUCUGUAAGCCUGCGAAGGUGGCCUGUGAGGGUUGCUGGAGGUAUCAGAAGUGCGAAUGCUGACAUAAGUAACGAUAAAGCGGGUGAAAAGCCCGCUCGCCGGAAGACCAAGGGUUCCUGUCCAACGUUAAUCGGGGCAGGGUGAGUCGACCCCUAAGGCGAGGCCGAAAGGCGUAGUCGAUGGGAAACGGGUUAAUAUUCCCGUACUUGGUGUUACUGCGAAGGGGGGACGGAGAAGGCUAUGUUGGCCGGGCGACGGUUGUCCCGGUUUAAGCGUGUAGGUGUGUGUUCCAGGUAAAUCCGGUUCACUUUAACACUGAGGCGUGAUGACGAGGCACUACGGUGCUGAAGCAACAAAUGCCCUGCUUCCAGGAAAAGCCUCUAAGCAUCAGGUAACAUCAAAUCGUACCCCAAACCGACACAGGUGGUCAGGUAGAGAAUACCAAGGCGCUUGAGAGAACUCGGGUGAAGGAACUAGGCAAAAUGGUGCCGUAACUUCGGGAGAAGGCACGCUGACACGUAGGUGAAGUGAUUUACUCAUGGAGCUGAAGUCAGUCGAAGAUACCAGCUGGCUGCAACUGUUUAUUAAAAACACAGCACUGUGCAAACACGAAAGUGGACGUAUACGGUGUGACGCCUGCCCGGUGCCGGAAGGUUAAUUGAUGGGGUCAGCGCAAGCGAAGCUCCUGAUCGAAGCCCCGGUAAACGGCGGCCGUAACUAUAACGGUCCUAAGGUAGCGAAAUUCCUUGUCGGGUAAGUUCCGACCUGCACGAAUGGCGUAAUGAUGGCCAGGCUGUCUCCACCCGAGACUCAGUGAAAUUGAACUCGCUGUGAAGAUGCAGUGUACCCGCGGCAAGACGGAAAGACCCCGUGAACCUUUACUAUAGCUUGACACUGAACAUUGAGCCUUGAUGUGUAGGAUAGGUGGGAGGCUUUGAAGUGUGGACGCCAGUCUGCAUGGAGCCGACCUUGAAAUACCACCCUUUAAUGUUUGAUGUUCUAACGUGGACCCGUAAUCCGGGUUGCGGACAGUGUCUGGUGGGUAGUUUGACUGGGGCGGUCUCCUCCUAAAGAGUAACGGAGGAGCACGAAGGUUGGCUAAUCCUGGUCGGACAUCAGGAGGUUAGUGCAAUGGCAUAAGC